rnacentral:tRNA from 2 species
CGGGGUGGAGCAGCUUGGUAGCUCGUCGGGCUCAUAACCCGAAGGUCGUUGGUUCAAAUCCGGCCCCCGCAACCA